rnacentral:rRNA from 1 species
UUACACGUGGGUAACCUGCCCAUAAUACUGGGAUAACUCCGGGAAACCGGGGCUUAUACCGGAUAACAUUUUUAAUCGCAUGGUUCAAAAUUGAAAGGUGGCUUCUGAUGACGCUUAUGGAUGGAUACGCGUCCCGGUAGCUAUUUGGCGAGGUAACGGCUCACCUGGGCAACGAUGCGUAGCCCACCUGAUAGGGUGAUCGGACACUCUGCGACUUCCACACGGACCACACUCCUACGAGAGGCAGCCAUAGGGAAUCUUCCUCAAUGGACCAAACUCUGAGGGAGAAGCGCCGCCUGAGUGAUGAAGGCUUUCUGGUCGUAAAAAUCUGCUGUUAUGGAAGAACCAGUGCUACUUGAAUAACUUGGCACCGUGACGGUACCUCACCGCAAAGCCACGGCUAACUACGGGCCAUCAGCCGCGGAAAUACUUACGUGGCAAGCGAUAUCCCUAAUUAUUGGGCGUAAAGCGCGCGCAGGUGGCUUCUUAAUUCUGAUGUGAACGCCCACGGCUCCUCCGUGGAUGGACAUUGGAAACUGGGACACUUGAAUGCAGAAGAGGAAAGUGCAAUUCCAUGUGUACCUGAGAAAUGCGUAGAGAUAUGGAGGAACUACCGUGUCGAAUGCGACUUUCUGGUCUGUAACUGACACUGAAGCGCGAAUACAUGAGGAGCUACUACGAUUAUAUACCCUGGUAGUCUACUCCUAAACGAUGAGUGCUACGUGUUAUACGGUUACCACUUUUACAGCUGAAGCUCACGCAUUCAACACUCCGUCCUGGGGGAGUACUGACGCGAGGCUGAAACUCACAUGAAAUUGACAGCGGGCCCGCACAUGCGGCGCGAGCAAUGUCGGUUAUCAAUUGCUAAGCAACCUGCUGAUCCCUGACCGGGGACUGGACCUUCAUCCUGAACAGCCCCUAUACAUGGUGCCGUUCAUCCGUCC